CGUAGGGUGCGAGCGUUGUCCGGAAUUAUUGGGCGUAAAGAGCUUGUAGGCGGUUUGUCGCGUCUGCUGUGAAAAUCCGGGGCUCAACCCCGGACUUGCAGUGGGUACGGGCAGACUGGAGUGUGGUAGGGGAGACUGGAAUUCCUGGUGUAGCGGUGGAAUGCGCAGAUAUCAGGAGGAACACCGAUGGCGAAGGCAGGUCCCUGGGCCACUACUGACGCUGAGAAGCGAAAGCAUGGGGGAGCGAACAGGAUU
rnacentral:rRNA from 1 species